CCAAGAACCCCUCACAAAUAUCACCUUGAUUGGGGGCGGACACAAUCACCAAAUCCCCUCACCAAUCAACAAAACCACAACUGUCUUGGUGACGGCAAUCACCAAGAGUAAUAAGAAAAUUAUAACUACAAAAAUCACCUAGUGCCACAAGAAUGAAAUCACAAAUGCGCAACACUAGGGUUUCCUCCCAAAUCCUCUCACCAAAGAGCACCAAGCUAUG
rnacentral:lncRNA from 1 species